CUGCCUCUCUCUCUCUCUCUGCCUCUCUCUCUCUCUCUCUCUGCCUCUCUGCCUCUCUCUCUCUCUGCUCUCUCUCUCUGCCUCUCUGUUAGGACUCAGGGCAGGCUAUACCAGUGGUGGUUGAGAGCUGUGUCCGCUACAUCAAUCUAUACGGCCUUCAGCAGCAAGGCAUAUUCAGGAUUCCCGGCUCCCAGGUCGAAGUCAACGAUAUAAAAAAUUCAUUUGAGAGAGGUCGGUCCCAGCGAGGCCCCAGCACGGCUGCCACAGACCUUCGCUCUAGGACUGUAAAGUGCAGACAGAUACAUAGAGAGCACAUUGGUCAUGUAUGGCACUGUCAUGGACAAGCUAUUUGAGAUGUACAGCAGCAGUAGUUGCCACAUUCUUAACAGGAAUGCUAUAGUUGGAUGAAAAUACUGUAGUGACAAACGUACAAAUAUAUCUUCAUUAUUUUUGUCGGCUAACUAAUAUGUUUAUAGAGAGAGCUUCGGCAAAUGUUUUCCUAUAGACUAGUUAAUGAGGUGUUAUAUUGUAUUAAAUGACAGCGGACUGUGUUCUUACAAGCUUACACAGUUUACAAAGCAGAUGUACUGUAGAUUCAACAAGAUUAAAGCAGUGUGACUGGAUGAUUGACAGAUUGUGUGACUGUACCAUAUCAUGUGAUGCCCCUAGGUGAGGACCCAUUGGUCAACGACCAGAGUGACCAUGACAUCAUGGCGGUGGCGGGAGUUCUGAAGCUGUACUUCAGGGGCUGGAGAACCCACUGUUCCCCAAGGAACACUUCCUCGACCUCAUGUCUACCAUCAAACUAGACUCUGGUGCAGAGAGAGCUCAUCACCUUCAGCAGAUCGUUGUAACUCUUUCUCACCCCGUCAUCAUCGUCAUGAGAUAUCUGUUUGCAUUCCUCAACCAGUAAGUAUAUAUAAUUCAGUAAGUCUAUAUAUCAAUCGAUAAGUCUA